UNUGAUGUGAAAGCCCCCGGCUCAACCGGGGAGGGUCAUUGGAAACUGGGGAACUUGAGUGCAGAAGAGGAGAGUGGAAUUCCAUGUGUAGCGGUGAAAUGCGUAGACAUAUGGAGGANCACCAGUGGCGAAGGCGACUCUCUGGUCUGUAACUGACGCGGAGGCUCGAAAGCGUGGGUAGCAAACAGGAUUAGAUACCCUGGUAGUNCACGCCGUAAACGAUGAGUGCUAAGUGUUGGAGGGUUUCCGCCCUUCAGUGCUGCAGUUAACGCAUUAAGCACUCCGCCUGGGGAGUACGACCGCAAGGUUGAGACUCAAAGGAAUUGACGGGGACCCGCACAAGCGGUGGAGCAUGUGGUUUAAUUCGAAGCAACGCGAAGAACCUUACCAAGUCUUGACAUCCUUUGACCACUCUAGAGAUAGAGCUUUCCCUUCGGGGACAAAGUGACAGGUGGUGCAUGGUUGUCGUCAGCUCGUGUCGUGAGAUGUUGGGUUAAGUCCCGCAACGAGCGCAACCCUUAUUACUAGUUGCCAGCAUUCGGUUGGGCACUCUAGUGAGACUGCCGGUGACAAACCGGAGGAAGGUGGGGAUGACGUCAAAUCAUCAUGCCCCUUAUGACUUGGGCUACACACGUGCUACAAUGGAUGGUACAACGAGCAGCGAACUCGCGAGGGUAAGCGAAUCUCUUAAAGCCAUUCUCAGUUCGGAUUGUAGGCUGCAACUCGCCUACAUGAAGCCGGAAUCGCUAGUAAUCGCGGAUCAGCGCGCCGCGGUGAAUACGUUCCCGGGUCUUGUACACACCGCCCGUCACACCACGAGAGUUUGUAACACCNAAAGUCGGUGAGGUAACCAUUNGGAGCCA
rnacentral:rRNA from 1 species